rnacentral:tRNA from 1 species
AGAGAAAGACGACUAAAGUUUCUUAAACUAUCUAAUCAUAUAGUUUAUUCUCAACGCUGUUAAUUAUAAUCAUAUAAAGUGGAGUCUCAUAGCUCAGCUGGUUAGAGCGCUACACUGAUAAUGUAGAGGUCGGCAGUUCAAGUCUGCCUGAGACUACUACGUUUAGUUUAUUACUAAAUAAAAUGAGGAUUUUAGUAGCUGAGAUUGAUUCUGAAAACUCAUUAUAUCGGGGGAUUAGCUCAGCUGGCUAGAGCGCUAGAUUUGCAUUCUAGAGGUCGUGGGUUCGACUCCCACAUUCUCCACAAUCAGCUUUUUGCUGAAAACGUUCUUUGACAUAUUGAAAAAAAUACAUGAAAUUAAAAAUUUCAAAUAAUCUAAAUUUAAUUAAUUAAUUAAUUGAGUUUACGAGCAAUAUAAUUUAUAACUCAUAAAAAUACAAAAGUUAC